CUUAGUCUGUGAGGGGCGGAUACAGUCUUCAAUGUCUUUAUAUUAGAAAAUGGAUAGAUUUACAGUAGUGAUGGUCUUAGAUACCAAAUUAACAUGGAAUGUGAAUUGACUGCGUUCAUACUCAUAGUAUCUAUCCAUGUGUAUAAACAUAGAGCACACCAGGUUUACUAGGAUAUCAUAAUUGCAAAUUGGUGUUUUUUCAUAUACAUAUAAUUUCACUUUAUUUUUUCAGCUUCCAUGGACUAGAGUCAUGUCAGUAGAAGUUUCCUUUCCUGCUCUUUUUCUCUCUCUCUUCACAGUUAAUGAGCAUCUGAACUUCCAAGGAAACAAGGUGAUUUGGAUAAAAAAAUAAUCAGAACAAAUCUCCCUUGAUUGGAAUGAAAGGAACAAAGAAAUGACAAAAUGAUAAUGUUUUCGGGGAAAACUCCAAAGAGAACAUCUCAGAAGAACACAGAAAAAAGAUGUUGAGCUCCUGCAAGAGGGUGAAGAGGGUGAAGAAGGACCUGUUGGUGGUUUGUUGGAUUUUGGUUUUUAACAGUGACCAAGUAUGAAGGCCACUAAGAUCAGAAACAAUGGUUAAGAUGAAGAGCUUGAAGACAACUGGAAAACAGAAAGUGCAAAGGAUUCCUUCGUUUCAACAAUGUAAACCUGACUGUGGAGGCUACAGAGGUGAAAAAAAAAACAAAACAACCCACUAUGCUAAGUUUAAAAAAAGCCAGAUCAGUUGCAAAUAAAGACAGAUGAACUUUGUCUGAACAAAACAAGGGGGGAUUUGAAGCUUAUCUAGAUAAAUGGGAUUUCGAUGUUAAAGCAUGCUUUUUCUCAUGGGCAUCAUUUAUUUUAAUUAUCCUACUGAGGGAAAAGAUUAUACUUUGGACAGAAGGAAUUUUGCUUCAACAUCUUGACCUAAUUAAGAGUUCAUUGACAUUUUAUAUUUGAAUUUUGUCACUAACAUGCACAUGACCUUGGAAAAUCAUACUGGUUAUUGUUUCAUAAAACAAUCUCAGUCAUAUGAAACAUAAUGUGAAAGAUCAUUUAUUUUUCUGGCUUUGAAUAUGGAAGGAUUUGUCCACUUACAUGUUAUAAUGCUAAAAGCA